UACGUAGGGGGCAAGCGUUGUCCGGAUUUAUUGGGCGUAAAGAGCGUGUAGGCGGUUUGGUAGGUCCGCUGUGAAAACUCGAGGCUCAACCUCGAGACGCCGGUGGAAACCAUCAGACUAGAGUCCGGAAGAGGAGAGUGGAAUUCCUGGUGUAGCGGUGAAAUGCGCAGAUAUCAGGAGGAACACCAGUGGCGAAGGCGACUUCCUGGCCUGUUCUUGACGCUGAGGCGCGAAAGCUAGGGGAGCAAACGGG
rnacentral:rRNA from 1 species